rnacentral:rRNA from 1 species
AGGGAACGCUGGCGGUAGGCCUAACACAUGCAAGUCGAACGGCAGCACAGUAAGAGCUUGCUCUUACGGGUGGCGAGUGGCGGACGGGUGAGGAAUACAUCGGAAUCUACUUUUUCGUGGGGGAUAACGUAGGGAAACUUACGCUAAUACCGCAUACGACCUACGGGUGAAAGCAGGGGAUCUUCGGACCUUGCGCGAUUGAAUGAGCCGAUGUCGGAUUAGCUAGUUGGCGGGGUAAAGGCCCACCAAGGCGACGAUCCGUAGCUGGUCUGAGAGGAUGAUCAGCCACACUGGAACUGAGACACGGUCCAGACUCCUACGGGAGGCAGCAGUGGGGAAUAUUGGACAAUGGGCGCAAGCCUGAUCCAGCCAUACCGCGUGGGUGAGGAAGGCCUUCGGGUUGUAAAGCCCUUUUGUUGGGAAAGAAAAGCAGCAGGUUAAUACCCCGCUGUUCUGACGGUACCCAAAGAAUAAGCACCGGCUAACUUCGUG